rnacentral:rRNA from 1 species
ACGAACGCUGGCGGCGUGCUUAACACAUGCAAGUCGAACGCUGAAGCACCAGCUUGCUGGUGUGGAUGAGUGGCGAACGGGUGAGUAAUACGUGAGUAACCUGCCCUUGACUCUGGGAUAAGCCCGGGAAACUGGGUCUAAUACUGGAUGCUACAUGUCACCGCAUGGUGGUGUGUGGAAAGGGUUUACUGGUCUUGGAUGGGCUCACGGCCUAUCAGCUUGUUGGUGAGGUAAUGGCUCACCAAGGCGACGACGGGUAGCCGGCCUGAGAGGGUGACCGGCCACACUGGGACUGAGACACGGCCCAGACUCCUACGGGAGGCAGCAGUGGGGAAUAUUGCACAAUGGGCGAAAGCCUGAUGCAGCGACGCCGCGGGAGGGAUGACGGCCUUCGGGUUGUAAACCUCUUUCAGCAGGGAAGAAGCCACAAGUGACGGUACCUGCAGAAGAAGCGCCGGCUAACUACGUG